GCUUCGGUAGCUAAGUGGUAUAGCGUGGGUAAGCAAAAUAUUCACCUACCACAUUACACACAGCAGCUAAUAUAUAAUAUAGGAUUGCAGUCAGCAAUUAUCCUAAGGUCAUGUGUUCGACCCACAUUCGGAGCU